rnacentral:rRNA from 1 species
GAUGAACGCUGGCGGCGUGCCUAAUACAUGCAAGUCGAGCGAACGGACGAGAAGCUUGCUUCUCUGAUGUUAGCGGCGGACGGGUGAGUAACACGUGGAUAACCUACCUAUAAGACUGGGAUAACUUCGGGAAACCGUAGCUAAUACCGGAUAAUAUUUUGAACCGCAUGGUUCAAAAGUGAAAGACGGUCUUGCUGUCACUUAUAGAUGGAUCCGCGCUGCAUUAGCUAGUUGGUAAGGUAAAGGCUUACCAAGGCAACGAUGCAUAGCCGACCUGAGAGGGUGAUCGGCCACACUGGAACUGAGACACGGUCCAGACUCCUACGGGAGGCAGCAGUAGGGAAUCUUCCGAAAUGGGCGAAAGCCUGACGGAGAAACGCCGCGUGAGUGAUGAAGGUCUUCGGAUCGUAAAACUCUGUUAUUAGGGAAGAACAUAUGUGUAAGUAACUGUGCACAUCUUGACGGUACCUAAUCAGAAAGCCACGGCUAACUACGUG